AUAUACAUUUACUCACAUGUAACAGGAAGUAAACAAGAUAGUAGUGGGUUAAAACUGUUCAACACCAGGAGAUGUUUUUAUAAUAUACCGUAAGUGAUAACAAGGACCUGAUGGACCAAAUAGGGAUGGUAUGGCAGGUGUCUGAAGUCUGAGAUAAUUUAGCUGUCCAUCAAUAAACUGAGGCGCUUCAUGCUUCAUCACCUGACAAACUUCAUGAAGAUGCUGAUACUCUCUUCCAGCUAGGGAUGUAACAGUAUGAAAAUACUACCUCACGGUUAUUUUGACCAAAAUAAGCAUGUUUUCCAGUAUUACUGCAGUAUUUUAAAAAAUGUAUUCAAAGGCAUUAAUUACGUUUUUGACGCUUUUAACUAGCGCUUAACGAUGCCUUGUUUUUGUCGUUUCAUCGUAUUUAGACAUGAUUUCUAUCUUCAAUUAAGCGUUUCCUCGACAUUCCUACAAAACUUAAAAUAUGCCCAUACUUCCGACUGAGUCCUCUAGAGGGCUGAUGGAUGUCUUUGGCGCUGUGGUCUCCUCCGUCCACCAUGAUUCCAUUUCAAACUUAAUAGAAAGUAUAAAUGCAAAUUGUAGGCUACACAGCUCGCCUGCACAGAUACUUAAGGCGAGUCAGAUGAAGCUGAUUAACAGGGAGUUUCAUCUACAUGCAAUUAAUCGUGGCACGCUGCCACAAAUGAGUUUUCUUCUUACCUCGGACUCAUGUAUCAGUAUACAUAUGUGCGGCGCACCGCAGAGCAUUCGCGCUGAGCAUUAGCAUUGGCGAGUUAUCAUCGGUGAUCUCACAGCUGAUUCAUGAAACCCCCGAUACACAUGCACCAGCUUUUGAAAUUAGAAUGGUAAUCGUUAUCAUCAAAAUUUUUAUCAUGAUUUACUAUUCCUGCUAUUACUUCCAGCAGGACUUAUUGUGCGUUCAAGUUACCUCGGAAGUCAGGUGUCGGAGCUGGGAAUGACGUCACACCCAAGUUACCAUCGUUUCAGUUACCAAGUCGGAAAAAGAUGGCUACAUCUACGAAAGUUAUCUUAGCGCUUGCCUUGUCCUAAUAUAAGCUACUUCUGGACAAAUAUGAGGUUCUUCUGCGAAAUGCAAACACAGUGGAUGAAGAGGAAACACAAAGGCGCAGGAGGUAGGCUAUUUUUUCUUUUUAAGUAUUUCAUUGUUUACAAAAUGCUGCCAUCUUUAAACAUCAACUCGGGGACUGUGUUGAUCGUUCAACUUUCCAAGUCGGAAAUCCAACCUCGACGUUCAUUCCAGUUGAAAGUUCUGACUCUGAGCUCAUAAAUUCCUACAUCUGAGAACAACUGGAACGCACCAUUAUCACCUGCCCACAGCGCCAAAACUACAUACUACAAAAACAGGUAUGUGUUUUUCCCUCGUCCUAGUCUGCAGAAACUAUUCAAUGACUGUCCACGAGUUUAACUCACCUGAAUGAUCAUAAACGUUGUGAAGAGUGACAACAUUAAUUCUCUACUUUUGUGUAAGUGUUUUGUUUACUGCAGUAAAAAGUUCUAGAGACAGACAUUUGUUUUUACCCUUGGCUUUGCAGUCAGCGUUGGGCUUUUCCAAACUCACAUAAAAGGGGUAAUUGUAAACGCCUGCUGCUGUUGGUGAACCUGGACAGCUAAUGUUUUGACAAUGAGCUCCCAUGACACUAUCGCCGCAAAGUAUAGAGAUGUUUGUUGGAAAAAGAUGUUGUUGUCGACAGAAAGCACGCAGCUUUAUUGUCGAGAUAAGCCGGCAUUCGCCUUUUCUGCUUUUUGUUUUUCGGUGGCAUCCGCUGAUUGAAUUCUUAUUCUGCCAAGUUCUCCCUCCUCUCCUCCUUUCAUACAUUUAACAAAGACGUCUUCAUGCAAAAAGAAGAAGAAGAAGAGGUGUGGGAAUAAAGGAGAACAGCAUGGAGAAACAGAAGUGUACUGUAUGACAUAGCCAGGGAGUUUUGUGAAGGCACAUUCAGAAGAAGGAGAUGGACAGAAAGGAAGAUACUGUGAUUCACCCGAAACUUUGGGAAAUAGCAGGUUCUGUUUUAGAUUCAAAGCGCAUGUUUCCCUUAAGAUUAUUGACCAGAAAUGUCAGUGAGGGAAGAUUCACAGGCAAAAAAGCAAGAAUGAAGAAAGAGAGGAGAGAGGAGAUAUUUGAAAUAGUUGGUGUAACACUUGAGAAAAGAGACGAAACAAAGAGAGGUAGGAAGUCAAGAGAGGUGGACGAGGUACUCGGAGGUUGGAUGAGGAUAGAGAGGAGGACACGGCCAAUGACGGACAAAAGAGGAGAAGACAACAUUUGUUUUUCAGGAGAGGUGGACGUGGUCAAGGGCACUUGAGCUAGAGGACUACAUCUCAUCUGCUCAUGCUCACAUACAUGUUCAAUUGGAGGACGAUUUGGGAAAUCAGAGCAGGCUCAGAGCUGUGCCGGUGUGUGUGUGUGUGUGUGUGCCUAUGAGAGUGUGUGUCCAUGUUCAAGAGUGUCUGCAUUUAGCCUUCAGCAUUUUAACAGGCUGCCUGAAGCCCAGGGGAGAGCGGGAUGCGGGACUCUCUCGUACUACCUGUGUCUGGAAUGAAAAUCUAUUCCGGCAGUCAACGCCUGACCUCCAACUGACUGAGAAAGCCAUUUUUACCCCCCGCUCUCAGGGAGAGGGUCGGCUCUCUGCCCUACAUUUCGCAACCUUUUCCGCUCAUUGUGAGGGGCAGUAAGAGCUUCGGUCCUUUGACUCAUUUCUAACAUGUAUAACGGUGAAGGUUAUUGAAUGUACGGUUCACAUUUACUCAGAAAAGGAUAUUUGAUUUCCUGCUGGUCUGGCUGCAAAAAUCACAGACCAUUCACCGGGCUUUUAUCUUCUAUUUUCCUGCUGGUAUUUCAGUACCACUAAAAUCCUUUUCCACAACUGUCAGAACAUUUUCACACAAGCUUUUUAUACUUUUUAAAUCUGUUUUUCACCCAAACAGAAGUAUUUUCCUUUUCUGGAUACUCAACAGCUUCUGUAAUCCGUUUAUUUGUUGUAGGAAUUGCACAAAUCACAAGGUGUAUUUAAACGUCUGGUUACAGUAACAGGCUUUUGUAAAAUCCUCGAAUGAUUCUUAGCCUUGUAUCAUUUAAUCCUUUUGGUUUCAGGAUCAAACACCUUGAGUUUGUCUCAUUUUUUAUGACUCUUACCAGAGUUAUUGUCACUGACACCUGCAGAAAAAUCUGCAUUUACCCAAGUCUUGACUCGAGGACUGCAGAAACACCAAAAGCCACGUUUACGCUGACCCCCAAAUUCCGCUGCAUGUGGAACGGCUGUACAUUUCACUGGAAUCGUGAGGACUCAACAGAACCUGCGAAUUCACAUGCAAUCGAGUGAUAGCGAGUUGUCUAUAUAAAGACAGCCACAUAACCAUAAAAGCAGUAGAUUGUGUCCUUCAAGAGGAGGAAAUCUACUCUGUCCAGACCAGCAGAUCAGACGUUUUGUGGAGAUUGGGAUUUACCCAUGGGUAAGUGCAAUAUUUAUCUAUAUCCAUGAAACCGAUUAUAAAAUAACAUGUUAUGAGUAUGUCUUUUUCCUCAUCCAUGGUGUCAUCGGGAUGAAAUGAGGUCUGAAAACCUUUUCACUUCGAGACGCCGGAUGUUUUAUUUUGUGUCUUUGCCCGACUUCCUUUCCAACCCAGGCUAAUCUGUGCUGAAUUUAUACGGCAUGUGUUCGGAAAAAAUAGAAGACUGGCGAUAGGCUGCGGAGUCCGCUGAACCGCAGGAAGCCACCGGAAUUUGACACCUUAACUUAAAUGGAAACGAUCAGCGGCAAUCGGCGCUGAUCAUCUGCCUUUUCGCUGCUGUUCCACUUUUGUUGUAGUUUGGGGGUAAGCCUUGUUGCAUCGUUUUAUCCUUUUGGUUUCAACCUCGCGUUUGUCUCAUUGUCAUGACUCUUACCUAUGUUAUUGUCAUUGACACCUGCUGAACUGCUAAAAUCUGCAUUUCCCCAAGUGUCGACUUGAGGCUGGCUGCAGAAACGCCAAAAGCUGCGUUUACGCUGAGCCAAAGAAGCCCUUUUUUUUUUUUUUUAGCAGAGGUUAAGUUUUGGUGACCCCGGGUGUCGAUGUUUGGAUGUCAUAAUCCAGCAUAAGUUGCUGUUUUUGAGUGGAGUACAGGGCUGUUCAAGGUUUACCGUAUCCGUCCAUUUGUGUCAGCGGGAUGUAAAGCUGUCACAAAUUUCAUCACGCUGGCUUCAGAAAUAUCGAGCACUCGAUGAUGGGGUUGAGAGCAGCUCUGUCCGAGGUGGUUAUUUACAGGCUGACAUUCAGCUCGGCUCAAAUGGACCGUACUUGACCCUGAAAACUGAAACUAAUUCAGGAUGGGGGCUUCAAGAAGACAGUUUGACAGACCUCAUAAAAGCAUACUUAAAAACAAAGUGUGUGUGGGCCGCUAAUUAAAGAAUAUUCAAAGCAUAUUCCUGACAACAAAAUAACACGGUUGGUGAAGGAUGAACUCCAGUGUGACACCGACGUUGAAUGGCUCUGAUCGAUCACUGAUUGAACAUUAAUAGUCACCUGGCAAACACGCCUCAGAAGGUGAAGAAAUAAGUAGCUGCUGCCAUUUAGCUUACGCUCUGCGACUUCAUCCCUUUUCUUCCAGCAUGCUCUUUUUUUUUUUUUCAACUUCAAUUUAAGUUUUAAGUUCAUACACAGUCGAGACCCCAAAGAGCAGAUGAUGCUGGAAGCUCUCCGUGCCAAAGUUUCGCAUUGAGAGGAAAUGAAAUAGUGCUUGGAUGCAUGAAAUUGCAAAUAUGGACAUGAGCGCAACAACUGUAAACGAAAGUCCUGAUGGAGAUUGAGCCCACAAGAGCCGACGCAAGUUCGGCUCAUGGCACGUGAAUUUACUGCCUGUGUGGCUGUGAAAUAGCUCUUUUAUUAGCGGGUGUCUCCUGACGUAUUAUGGGGCCACUAGGGGGCUCUUGGGAAGAGAUUGCAUUAUAACCAUCGCCACUUUACCGCGUGAAAUAUAGGUAACUCUGCGACACAACUCUGCCUUUAAUCUUUGUGAGACUCUGUGUGCAAUCAUGUAAAGCUGUGAGUGUGUGUGUGUGUGUGUGUGUGUGUGUUCAUAUGUGUGUGUGUAAGUGUGUGUGUGUGAGUUUGUACAGUCUCUGGGCUCUGCAAUCCAUAAAAAGGAAUGUCCCACCUUGCCCCUUAUUUGAACCCC
rnacentral:lncRNA from 1 species